AGGAAGCAGGAGCAGAGGGCCUGCGUGAGGGGGCGACUGGAAUGGAGCAGACCGCCUGGAGGAGAGGGGGCGGCCGGUGGGCAGGAGGAAGGAAGCAACAUUCCUCCACAUCUUUCCACUCAGGUGCCAUUUGUUACUUCCGCGCCAUUUGCAGGCAUUUCCCGACGUUAUCUCGUGCGGUCUUAUCCUAAUCCUGUGAGGCUGGUAAUUUUGUCCUUACUUCAGAGAUGAGGAAACGAAGGCUCAAAGAAAGAUUUGUCCGAAAUUAGGACACAGCUGAUGGGCGUUCCCAGGCUAGGGGUUGAAUCAGAGCUGAAGACGCCAGGCUAUGCCACAGCCAUAGCAACACAGGAUCCAAGCCACGUCUGCAACCUACACCACAGCUCAGGCAACGCCGCAUCCUUAACCCUCUGAGCAAGGCCAGGGAUUGAACCUGAGUCCUUAUGGAUGCUGGUCAGGUUCGUUAACCACUGAGCCACGAUGGGAACUCCUGAAUUUCUUGCCUUUAACCUGAUCUCAGAAACAAAGGAAAACUGAGCACCAUCUAUUCGGAAAGGAGAGUGAUGGCUAAUUUUCUGUGUCACCUUAGCUAGAGCACAGUACCUAGAUAUUUGGUGAAACACCAGUCUAAAAAGUCUAAAAAUACCUGUGAAGGUGUUUUUAACUGAGAUUAAAUUUAAAUCAGUAGAUGUUGAGUAAAACAAAUUAUUCUCCAUAGUGUAUGUGGGCCUCAUCCAAUCUGUUGAUGUCCUUCAGAAAAAAAGAUUGUUGUCCCCCCAGGAAGAAGGAAUUCUGCCUCCAGAUGGCCUUCUGUCUGGAGACCACAGUGUCAUCUUUUCCUGGGUCACUAGCCUGCCCCAUAGUCACCUAAGUCAAUUCCUUGAAAUUCAACCUGCCAGUCUGUCUCUGCCUUUGUCUUUCUCUCUGCACACUCACACAUACCACAUCUUAUUCGCUGUCUUUCUCUGGAAAACCCUGACUCAUAUAGACAGGAAGAUACAGAUGUUGUGAAUUGUCCUGCUGCUGCUGAUAUUAGCCAAAAACUGCAUCCGGCCUCUCUAGGCAUUCUUGGUGUAGAUGUAUAUUGCUUGUUGUGUGGACAAGAAAGUGAAUUGUAGAAGGGAUGUGGUGCUCCCACUGUGAUGGAGAGAGCGAAUAAGAGAGCAAGGAGAGAACGCUGUUUGCCCAGGCAUGGUUCAGUUGCUCCCUUGCUCUUUGGCGCUCAUAUUCUCAUCAGCAGGAUAAUAAAGUUACUAGGUUGGCCGUGCAUAAUUAUUGCUCACAUUUAUGGAUGAUUUUCUAUAGGUCGGGUCUAGCUUAGUUGCUUUACAGAUGUUCAUGAUUUUAAUUCUUAGAACUACCCAUUGAGAUAGGGACUACCAUUGCCCCAAGUCCCAGAGAGCUUCUCGUAAGUAGAAACUAGAUAUUGUAUUCAGUACAAUUUAUACAAGCUUAUUUUUCCCUCUUAGAAAUAGUUAAGUUAUAAUGAUGAUGACCAAAAGAAUUACUGUCAAUGGAAGAAGCCUAAGAAUUUAUAUCCAGCUCAAGGCCUUGCAAGAAUGCAGAUUCAUUCAGUAAAAACUCAGUUAACAGCCUGCUUUAUUUCAGACUUCACUUCUUAGCUUUGGAAAGCUUCAAAGUAGGGCAGUUUACGUUUGGGAAUGACCAGUCAAAAUAGCAAGAUAGAUAUAGGUAAGAAUCUAAUGUUUUAAAAAUUUAAAUGGUAAGAGAUGGAGCAUGCAUCAAAACAGCUUGCUGGAGCUCUAAAAUUAAUAAAUACAUUUGAAAAGUGCACCCUCUCAGCCUUCUCAGACUCAGAAUUUGGGGGGGUGCAGUUCCUCUUUUUGAAUCUCUUUUUUGAAUUGUUUAUGUUUUUAGUAAGGAGGAAGAAAAAGGUCUCCUUAAGAAGCCAUUAGGAAUUAAAAUUAAUUUCAGAAUUCAGUAUUGUUUAGAAUAUGGUGAAGACUGAUUUGAAAGGGCAGUGCCCGGUUUGGUCUUCCCUGGAAAAGAGGGACAGGCGUGGUCCCAGUCAGCCCAUCUUUGCCAUGGUGGGAAAAUGGCGUUGCUUUCAUUGUCGUUCUUUCAUUCCCUUCCUUGCCAAGCCCAGUGGCUUCUGUUACAACAUGUGGCAACUUCUCCCUUGGAGACUAACUCAGUCCAUGUUGCCAUAAUAUUUAAGGCCAGCUACAAAGGCAUAUCUUCCCCUAAACCCAUGCCAAAUCUAAAUCAAACUGUCUUCUCCUCCUUGGCCAUUUCAAGAGAUCCAGCUCCUGUUUGAAAAGCACGAGAAAUGCACAGGUCCCUUUUUGUUUCCUUGCCUGUUCCAACAGGUAAAUAAACAAGGCACAUCAUGCCUAGUGCUGCUUUGAUCUUGGUUGCUUCCUUCUAAAAUAGAUUCUGGGGCGUUCCUGUUACGACACAGCAGAAACAAAUCCGACUAGAAUCCAUGAGGUUGUGGGUUCGAUCCUUGUCCUUACCCAGUGAGUUAAGGAUUUGGUGUUGCUCUGAGCUGUGGUAUAGAUCACAGAUGCGGCCUGGAUCCCAUGUUGCUGUGGCUAUGGUGUAGGCUGGAAGCUGUAGCUCCAACUGACCCCACCCUGGGCACUUCCAUAUGGUGCGGGUGUGGCC
rnacentral:lncRNA from 1 species